CCCCGUAGCUCAGUUGGUAGAGCAUGGUGUUUGCAACGCCAGGGGUUGUGGGGUUGUGGGUUCGAUUCCCACGGGGG
rfam:Salmo salar isolate Sally breed double haploid chromosome ssa06, whole genome shotgun sequence.